UACGUAGGGGGCAAGCGUUGUCCGGAUUUAUUGGGCGUAAAGAGCGUGUAGGCGGCCGCACAGGUCCGUUGUGAAAACUGGAGGCUUAACCUUCAGACGUCGAUGGAAACCGUGCGGCUAGAGUCCGGAAGAGGCGAGUGGAAUUCCUGGUGUAGCGGUGAAAUGCGCAGAUAUCAGGAGGAACACCAAUUGCGAAGGCAGCUCGCUGGGACGUUACUGACGCUGAGACGCGAAAGCGUGGGGAACAAACAGG
rnacentral:rRNA from 1 species